ACAACGCUGAUGAGAGGAGAAGAGAAAGAGGUGGUGCCUCAUUUCCCGUGGAGAAAUUUCCUGGGGAAAGCUCACGGGAGGAGACAUAUGCCCAGGCUUUGAAGAACAGGAAAAGACAGUGGUACAUCAUACAUAACAUGUGCUUUCUGGACUCGGCCCUUCCCAGGCAGCAUCACCUGAAAUGCUCAGAGCAAGCCCAGUGAGGUCCAUGCUCUUCCUGAACCUGAAGUGAAAUCUUUACAAAAUCCCUAAAAGGAUAGAAGAUGGUGAUUCCAAUGAAAGCCCUAUCUGCCAAAGAAAUGGAUGAGAGCAAUCUGAGGAGGUGUUGCAGACCUGAAGAUUAAUUCAAUGUGGCCGAAGCUAGAGAAAGAGACCCUCACCCUUUUUGCAAACAGAGGGGUGUCAGGAGGUAAUGGAUGGAAGUGCUGCAGCAAUUCUGCUGCCAUACAGGAGGAGGGCCACUGGGAGCCAUUGUGAGCCCAAUUUCAACACUGUGAACAGCAGAGAUAGAAGAAAGAGAAGCCAGGUAUUUGGUUUGAGCUCCUGGAUCAAAUCAUACCUGAAAAGAAAUGACCUCUCGAUUUUUCAUUUAGCAAAGCUAAUACUUAUUAGAAGCAAAAGUUGAGAUGUUUUGUGUCUCUUCUAAAUAAUAUAUCAGGAAAUUUCAUAUUCUAAAAUUCUUCUAUUGCACAGCACUCAGAAUAAAUAAUACAGUCCCUUAAAGCAGCCAAAUAAGUAACCAAGAUAAUUAAUCUUUUAAUGCCCAUGUUGACUUAAACGCGUGCACACACGCGCACACACACACACACACACACACACAGCAUCAGCAAGUGGGUGCAACAGGUGGCAUCUCCGUGUAAUUUUUGUUUCAAUAAAGCCACUUGGAAGCUAGGCAUGGAAAAUGCCACACAAAGGCUGCCCCCCCGCCCCCGCCUCAUUAGAACAGAGAGCAUUGCUGUCACUGUUGUUUCCACCUGAUGAAAACAACUUGGUCUGUGACAUGUUUCCAACUGUCAUGGCACCAAGUGGGCAGGAGAAAAUCAGAACAAGAAGUAACAUCUUAGCAGAAAAUAAGGCAGGAAAAGUGGGACAGAAUGAUAAUCCUCAAUCAGCCCAGAAAGUAGAAUAGAAAGCUGGGAAAAGCAUCAGUUUGGGGGCAGAUUUAAAAUAAAGCCCUUGUGGAAUUAAACCACUGAUUCUUAACCAGGGUGCAUACUGAGCCCUUGUGUGAGUCUUUAAAUUACAUCCCCCCCUUAGGCCAGUCCUAAAGCAUCUGCUUCCGUGGGACUGCAGGGAGCAGGAGCAUCAGUACAUUUUUUUUAAUCUCAAGAAUUUGGUCUGAUGUGCAUACCUAGUUAAGAAUUCCACAAUUAAGCAUCAGAAAAUUCUGUACAACUGAAAAUAUAAUUGAGAUUUUUUAAAAAGAAAAGGAACAAAGUAUCAUAAAUAGAAAUUCUUUCAAAAAAGCAAACAAACAAACAAACCCCACAACAGAGCAGCUAUAAAUCAAAAGCAUUUUGAAGGAGAGGAGUUGAGACAUGGUUAUGGGUGAAAUGUUUGUCAUUGUCAGGCUUAUGCUGGGUUUGCAGUACAGAUGGACAAGAGGACUGAAGGACACUCACACGUUUGACCCUCCUUCCCCACUUCAACACAAAAUUUCAUCCGGAAGUUUCUAGGUGUAUUUCUACUGAGAUCAGGUAGGUGACUGUCAUUACUGUUUGAAUUCAUUUUGUUCCAUUCUAUAAGGCCACAUGAUUUGUUCUUAGCUUUGAUUCAUUUAUCAAACGUUGGCCGAGGGCCUGCUACACUCCAGGCACCGGGGACAGCCCUUAAUUUUGAGCUUGCUGCCAGGUUGGAGAAAUGGUAGGAAGGCAGGUAACGACCAUGCAAUAUAAACAUAGGAAGCCAGAAUAUGCAGGGAUAGGAGGCAGGGCGUGGAAUGAUUUCACCUAAGAGAUACAGGGUUGAAAGGGCAAAUGACCUUCAUCACAAGGGCAGAGUACAGGAAUUGAGAGAAGGUGGGGGUGAGCAAGGUGAGUGCAGGCAGCAGUGGCAACUAAUGAAUAUGCAGUCAGUGCAGCAAGAAAAUGCCUCCCUCCUGAUAAGGAUGCUCAAGCCAGUGGCCCAGCAGCGUAGAACAGUCAGCUGAGCGAGCCCUCAUCUUGCAAUAUGCAAAUGUGACAUUCCACUCUCUUCUAACAGCAAAGAUCAGGAGGUGGGAUUAUUAACACCAGAUUAUCACAACACUUAGCAAUUGCCUGUCCACGCUCCCCAAGCACUGUCCCUAUGACAUUUUGGAAACGACUUGCAGCUGGGUUGGUAGGGGUUUCCAGACUCAGGACUCUUGGAUGAGGGCGCCCUCUGGUGGCCACAGUCAGGCGCCAGGAAGCCCUAGACCUAGACCUUCCUUGCCCUUGGCAUGCCCGGCAGCAAAUAGUUCUUCCCAAGACAGGAUCAGAGAACUCAUCAGGUUCAGUCACAGCCCUGCAGGGCUGCAAUUUCAAGAAGUGGCAGGAAGCACAUCCCUGAAGGCAAGUGGGGCCUUUUAAACCUUUGAAAACAAAUUCAAUAGAAAAUUGCUUUAUGCUCUGGCAGGGCCAGAAAAAGGUAGCUUUGAGGAAAGGUUUCUUUUGUCCCCCUUGGUUGGAAAAGGUCAUGUUUUCUUCUUCGCAGAUCACCUGGAUCCAGUGGUCUUAGAGGAGGACUUUUAGGAGUUUAUGGGGUGAGAGUCCGAAGUUUCAUCUUAUUCUCAAGAAGGUAUAGGAUCUCCAAAAGGGUUAAGAACACCAUGGGGUUCCACCUCCUUAAAUUCUAUAGAAGCUAUGUUCAAAUGUGAUCCCCUUGAAGUGUUAGAGGUCCCACCAAAUUUGUUAUUAGUAACCCAAAUGUCCACUGAUAGGAGAGAGGAAGUAAGAGGCUGGAUGGCCUGGUAAUUAAGUUCAAGCCUCUCCAGUACCUAGAAGACUAAAUGGGGGGCUGAGCAGAGUACAUGUUCCAGAAGGUGGUCCUGAGAAUGCAGGAGGUAGAGCAGUUAAAACAGUACUUUGUCAGUGCAGGUAAGGAGCUGGUGUAGUACAGCAGCUCGGCUGUAAAACAGAACUGCAGCCAAUUAAAAGAGCGAGGUAGAUCUAUACAUGGAAGACUUGGAAAGAUGGCCGAGUAGGUCACUGAAUGAAAAAAGCAAACUGCAGAUCAAGAUGCACAGUAUCAUUCCAUUUGUGGAACAAUACAAACCCAAAUGUGUACAUACUAUGGAUAAAAAGCUUUGUUGUUGUUUUUCUAGUCUGAAAAUGUAAAAAUGCAUUCUUAGUAAUGAUUUUACUUCUAGGAAAUAAGUUUGGAAGGGGUCCUUUCUCUUCUAUUUUAUUUAUAUGCAGUUUAUAUUGUUUGAUUUUAAGGCAAGCAUUACUUUUGGAAGGAAAAAAAGCAAGAAAAAACAUACUGUCUUAUAUGGCAGAUUGCUAAUAGGUAGCCAUAAAGUAAGGCAAAUGAUCCCAGUUUCCUGUUAAUCAACAAGCAGUCUACAGGGAGAUUUACCUGUCACUGUAAACGCACUUUAGCAUGUUGGAGUAUUUUACAAUGCACAUACAUGCAAUAUUUAUUACAAAAAAGUUUUGAUUUUUUAAAAUAGGGUAAUUUAAUUUUGUAUUUAAUCUAAGAAAAAUUGCUGAUUGCCAGACACUGUGCUAAACUCUGAAGAUAUAGAAAAGACUA